rnacentral:rRNA from 1 species
AGUGAACGCUGGCGGUAGGCCUAACACAUGCAAGUCGAACGGCAGCACAGUAAGUGCUUGCUCUUACGGGUGGCGAGUGGCGGACGGGUGAGUAAUACAUCGGAAUCUACUUUUUCGUGGGUGCUAACGUAGGGAAACUUACGCUAAUACCGCAUACGACCUACGGGUGAAAGCAGGCGAUCUUCGGACCUUGCGCGAUUGAAUGAGCCGAUCUCGGAUGAGCUAGUUGGCGGGGUAAAGGCCCACCUAGGCGACGAUCCGUAGCUGGUCCGAGAGGAUGAACAGAUACACGGGAAGUGAGAAACGUUAGCGACACUUACAGGAAGACGCAGUGGAGAAUAUUAGACAAUGGGGGAGAGCCUGAUCCAGGCAUACCGCGUGGGGGAAGAAGGAGUUCGGCCUGGAAAGUCAUUUUGGUGUUAAAGAAGAGCAGCAGGUUAAUACCCCGUUAUUCUGACGGUACCCAAAGAAUAAGCACCGGCUAACUUCGUG